AAGUGGGUGAUCUUUACGGUCUCUUCCAACCCAAACCAUUCUGUGAGUCCGCCAGUGAGUUGCAGGCGCACAAGAAGCAUAAAGCAGAAGAUAAGGAGGGUCCAACCCUCAGCAGAGCCUGCAAAUCCACAAGAUAAGAUCUGACCUGACUGAUCAAAGAGGAGCGUGAUAAGAGCAGGAGCUCACGAGGUCUGAUGAUAAAUCUGUUUGACCCUUGCUUCUGGAAGGGAGGCACUCGGGAUAAGGAGUGAGCCAGGGCUGGGCUGCCUAUUCCUCACUGGGCAAGGACCUGGACUUGACACAGCGUCUUCUCCAGGGAAUCUCUGCUACAGUGAAGCUAUGGGAGCAGGGAAAGAAGUAGGAAUUGCUUUUAUCAGGUUCAUGAGCUGAACUGGCCUGUGGAGCCCCCGAGGAAUGCUGAAGCUAGUGGUGGGGUGAGCAGGGUGGCUGGAGACAGGGAAAAGAGGCAAUAAGAUUCCUAAAUGAAACCUUCUCUUUAAAAAAAAAAAAAAAAGGACAUUUCUCCUGUGUAUCCUACUCGGAACGAAAGCUGCCUGAUCGUUCAUGAAGGCUUCGAUACUUCACCAGUGUCUGGCAGGGGAACUCCUAACAGGAAGGAGGUGAUUUUUUGCUGUAUCGAGAAAGUUCGCUGUACUUGUUGACUUUAGCUGGGUGGUUCUGUUUGUAAGUGCGGUGUUUUUUCCCCAGCUUGUCAGUAUUGGAGGAAAAAAGUUAAGAACAACAGAAAUAGGGACUGAGAAUGAUAGCCACCCUCCACCCCUUGGUUUUAAAUGCAAGAGGGGGAAAAAAAGCGGGAUUACCCUCCAAGAGGAUGGUGACAGUAUAGCGAAUGCUGUGGUUGUGGCCUGGGGUGGAAUGUCAACAUUCAAUUAAUUUGGGCUUUUGCAACAUGGCAAAUAUGGCUUCUGAAAGCUACAGUAUGUCCACCCAGUGCCCUGCCUGUCACUGGGAUCAGAGCUGGAGCUUUUCAGUCACAGAUACUGGAGCCAGGCUUGAAAUUAGCUUAAAUGGGGCUGCUACAUGCCAGUAAAUUCACCAAAUUCUGCUUCUGGGCAUGCUGGGCAGACAGAAUUACUGUAUUAUUAACAGUGCUCUUCCUCACUCUCUGGCCUCCAAGCAUAUUUUUAGAGGCAUGCCAAAGAAGAAAAAUCUAAUUAAAAGGGUAUUCUGAAAAAAAAUUAAGGGAAUUGUAAUCCCCUGGGGCGGUUUGUUCAGACUGCCUGUGUGCAAAAAUGUUCCAGAGAGAGAAAAAACCCCGUAACACAACUUAGAAAAUGUUUGUUUGUCUAAAACAGCAGUCUACAAAAUCCUGUAGUACAGACUGUUACAGAUUAUUUUGCCUUCGGGACUUUUCUUUCCUGUAGCAGAAUGGUGUAGUGUUUGGUUGUCUCUGAAGCAAAAUUUCUAGAGUAACUUGAAAUAUGCUUUGUCUUUCUGUCCGAGGAGUGUUUUUCCAGGAACUAGCAGUUCUGAGUAACCCAGCCAUUUGCAUUCCGUGCCGUAAGCACCCAGAGAAAACCCGUUGCCUUAAAACCUGGGUUUCCCACAUGUAGAAAUUUGGGGACCUGAAGGAAACGACUGAAAAAUUUGCACAAUGUUUUUACCCGAAGGAGCCAGAGGAAGUUUGCAGUUAAUCAGGAUUCCAUUUUUAGGAUAUCUUAGGGAACAAGUGGAGCCCAGAUGCUUUUAGUAAAUGGCUUUCAAAAAAACUCCCCGUUGAGGACAGUGUCAAAUUUCCAGACACAUGAUCAACCUUGGAGCCAAGUUUAGGGUUGCUUUUGUGUUUACAUAAAGUCUGUGAGCUGAAUUACGCUGAAGGGUGGAAUGGAAAUUCUCCAUAAUAAAUAUUUGACUGGAUGCACAGUUUAUC